AGGUCAAAGAUUGUGGCUUACUUUCCAACAUAUGAUAGUUGUAAAGAUUGCAUUUACAACUCAUCUAUAGCUAAGUUUCUUAAGCUUUAAGAAGCUAGUUGUAACCUCCUCUAUCUAGUAUAAAUAGAGGUCUUGAGUUAUAGAGUUGUAAUCCCAUGUUGUGGUGAGUGAAAACAAAGAGAGAGGGGGAGUGGAGUUUAGAGAGAAAAUGGAGAUUUCUCCUAAAACUCAAGUGUCUUUCCUUUGUUAGUGUGUAUUUCCUCCUGUUAUAAGAGAGAGGGUAUUGUCAAUUGUUGCUCUCCUUAUUGCAGAAGAGAAAUUGUUGUAUCAUUUUGCUAUAGUGAAAUCCUUCUACAAGUUGCCUAUCAUCUUGUGCUUCACUCAUUUUCAUAGUUUCUACUUCAGUUGUAAUUGGGUGCCACGUUUCACAACGUUCCUAACAUAUAUACCUAUCGUGCAAGGAACCUAAAAAGUCUUCCAAAGAAGAGAUUGCAACAUGAGUCAAAGUUGUACUCAACUUCUUUAUGUACAUCCUUGCCAGUCAUGUACUUGGAGCUUGUUGCUACUUUUUUGCUGUUGAAAGACUCACAAAUUGUUGGCAACAUGCCUGUCAAAAUGAAAAUGGAUGUGUUCCUAGUACUUUUGACUGUCACGAUCACAAUUCAUUGAGAAAUACAACAUUACUGAAUGACUUAUGCCCAGUAGAUCCACCAAAUGCAAAGCUGUUUGAUUUUGGUAUCUUUCUUGAUGUCCUUCAGUCUGGUAUACUGGGUUCAACAGAUUAUCCAAAAAAGUUGACGAAUUGUUUCUGGUGGGGCCUGCGAAAUCUUAGUUCUCUUGGUUCAAAUCUCCAGACCAGUACCAAUAUAUAUAUAUAUAUAUAUAUAUAGCCG